GACGAACGCUGGCGGCGUGCCUAAUACAUGCAAGUAGAACGCUGAAGGAGGAGCUUGCUUCUCUGGAUGAGUUGCGAACGGGUGAGUAACGCGUAGGUAACCUGCCUGGUAGCGGGGGAUAACUAUUGGAAACGAUAGCUAAUACCGCAUAAUAUUGACUAUUGCAUGAUAGUCAGUUGAAAGGUGCAACUGCACCACUACCAGAUGGACCUGCGUUGUAUUAGCUAGUUGGUGGGGUAACGGCUCACCAAGGCGACGAUACAUAGCCGACCUGAGAGGGUGAUCGGCCACACUGGGACUGAGACACGGCCCAGACUCCUACGGGAGGCAGCAGUAGGGAAUCUUCGGCAAUGGACGGAAGUCUGACCGAGCAGCGCCGCGUGAGUGAAGAAGGUUUUCGGAUCGUAAAGCUCUGUUGUAAGAGAAGAACGAGUGUGAGAGUGGAAAGCUCACACUGUGACGGUAUCUUACCAGAAAGGGACGGCUAACUACGUG
rnacentral:rRNA from 1 species